GGCCUUUACAUUUAUGUUCUUUCACUUUGUCAAUGUUAAGUAGUAAUUUCGAUCCAACCCUAUUAACAUAUUAGGUCAAAAUUGAGAAAGAUGCAGUUCCCAGAAGCACAAUGAACAAAAAAGGUGUAUUAGCUAAGAACAAAACUCUGACGGAUGCCAUGGAAACAUAAUGUUUAACCUUGUUUAAAACUUUGGAAACUAGUACAAAACAUCAUUAAGCUUGAGCAAAUAUUUAGCUCUCUACAUAAUAUAUACACAAAGAAAUAGGGGUUUGGAGAUUCUAUUCAAUUAGGUCCCCAACAGCUCAAAUACAUAACUGUUCUCAGUGAUUCCUCAGAUUUCUUCAACUUCUGAUCUUCCUUCAUCUUUUUACAUAUAAUUGUUGAAGAGGGUACUCCAGAGAGUCUCUUGGUCUCAGUGUAUGAUCUGAGGUUGUUCUUGGNACAGUCAGCAUGUAUAUAUAUAUAGAUGGGUUAAACCAAACGGACAGAGCCGUGGAUGUCAAGGGCCCUAUGUGGUGCAUCCACGGCCCCAUGUGGUACCCCCAGCAAGAUAGGCUGACUUUGAUUUUGAAGUAUAUACCUAAACCAGUCAAGUUUGACGUACAUUUUAUUUGACAUCUUUUUUAACAGAAUGUCAUUUGACAGUUUCAAAAUAAAGAUGUCUUUUUAUUCAAUAAAUACAUUUUUGCUAACACACUUUCCUGUAAAUAAUGUACAAGUGUCAAAUUCCUAUCCAAAAAGGGUACAGUCAGCAUGUAUAUAUAUACAGAUGGGUUAAACCAAACGGACAGAGCCAUGGAUGUCCAGGGCCCUAUGUGGUGCGUCCACGGCCCCAUGUGGCACCCCGAGCAAGAUAGGCUGAUUUUGAUUUUGAAGUAUAUACCUAAACCAGUCAAGUUUGACGUACAUUUUAUUUGACAUCUUUUUUAACAGAAUGCCAUUUGACAGUUUCAAAAUAAAUAUGUCUUUUUAUUCAAUAAACACAUUUUUGCUAACACACUUUCCUAUAAAUAAUGUACAAGUGUCAAAUUCCUAUUCAAAAAGGGUACAGCCAAUAUGUAUAUAUAUACAGAUGGGUUAAACCAAACGAACAGGGUCAUGGAUGUCCACGGCCCUAUGUGGCACCCCCUAUUGGGCGCGCCUAUCCCCCCAAGAAUCUCCCUAUACAGAUUGGGAAAGGUUAAGCGGUUUUAGUUAAAAUCAGCUGCUCCAGUGUAUAGUUUUUGGAUGUGAUUACCAAGACUCCUAACAAUCCGGACAAAUGGGGGAAACCGCGUGGAAAGGUUGAUUAGAUAAUAAUCAAGGGGCUCCACUUGGCUUUUAAUUUUAAUAGUUAAAGCCCGUUUGAGAGUGAUUUUGAGAAUUUAUUUUUUGAUCGUUAGAAGAAAAGUGGGGUUUACUUAUGAGAAAAUAAAUCAAAUAUGAAGGCUGAAAUAGUGAAAUAAUCGUCAUAAAAUCAAUUUUUUGGUGAAAAAAUUGGAUCCAAACAGGCUCUUAAUUAAAAUGCACAAAAAUAAUUAAGUAGACGUAGCAGAAAUGCUUUGAUAACAUGAAUUUCUAUUCCUCAACGAUAUUCCACAAUCAAAACAAAAAGCUUUAGGAGUCACUGAAACAACUGCGGGAUCAUAUUGGAGUUGGGACCCAAAUGAAACUUGGGCAUUUAUUAUUUCGAUUUCUUUGAUUAAUUUGAUGGUUAUCAGGAAUUUCAACUGCGCUCAUAUUCGUCACUAGGAAUUGGACAAGUUUUGAAAUAUUCAUAUUACACAAAAGAUUAUUCAUAUAUUUUUGCGUACGGAACAUGGCCUUUACAUUUAUGUUCUUUCACUUUGUCAAUGUUAAGGAGUAAUUUCGAUCCAACCCUAUUAACAUAUUAGGUCAAAAUUGAGAAAGAUGCAGUUCCCAGAAGCACAAUGAACAAAAAAGGUGUAUUAGCUAAGAACAAAACUCUGACGGAUGCCAUGGAAACAUAAUGUUUAACCUUGUUUAAAACUUUGGAAACUGGUACAAAACAUCAUUAAGCUUGAGCAAAUAUUUAGCUCUCUACAUAAUAUAUAUACAAAGAAAUAGGGGUUUGAUUCAAUUCAAUUAGGUCCCCAACAGCUCAAAUACAUAACUGUUCUCAGUGAUUCCUCAGAUUUCUUCAACUUCUGAUUUUCCUUCAUCUUUUUACAUAUAAUUGUUGAAGAGGGUACUCCAGAGAGUCUCUUGGUCUCAGUGUAUGAUCUGAGGUUGUUCUUGGCAUGUUGUUGCAGUAGCCUCAUGGCAUAAUUCCAUCUACAGAAUCCCUGAUCUUUCAGUGCCUCAACAGCCCCAAUGCUUGCUCCCACUAACCAAGCCCUGCUCGUGGAACUCAUUUCAGCUUCUUCUUUCGUACUGAAUCAGUGUUUAUUACCAAUGGAUAUGAAUGGUGAUGAAGAAUGAUGAGGAGAAUGUGUGUUUAUAUAAGAAACUGGUGCAGGUUUCGCCAGCAGAAAAGGAAAGCCCCCAGUUUUAGGUGGUAGUAUUAUAUCCAUAUGCAUUAAGGAUUGUGCCAAUGAAUUUAGACCAAUUGGAAAGAAAGAGAGCAGAUAUGUACGAACUCACAUCAGGUACCAC
rnacentral:lncRNA from 1 species